UCCAGUGCCUCCAUUCCCUGUAGUUAUUAUUAUCCUAAGGGAAUUCAGGUGGCACAAAUGCUUUGGUGCUCGAUGAACUCAAACAGAGGAAGGUGUACAGACCCUCCGUAUGUUUAUGACAGCUCAUCAAACAUCAAGUCACACUUUGAGUACGUUGGAGACGACAAAUCAAACUGCACUUCGUUAAUCCACAAUGUACAGUUCAGUUAUUCUGGAGAGUACAGAUUCAGAUUUAUAACUGAUUGGAUUGAUGGUGAAUGGACAGGUGAACCAGGAGUGACUCUACAAGUUGCAGACUUAAAGGUGUCACUAAUCAGGCUCAGUGGAAAUGGAACCCUUAAACAAGGAGACUCGUUAAAUCUGACGUGUGAUGUGAACUGCACACACAGUUCCUCACAGUUUGUGUGGUCUAUGAACAACGAGCAGUUAAAUCCAAUAGGACCAGUUCUUCACUUUCCUGCUCUAACCGUGAGGGAUUCUGGGAAUUACACCUGCACUUGGAAAACCAACAAGACGUCAGGAUCUAAAACGAUCAGCCUUCAGGUCGAGGGGUACAAUCCUGAUCCUGAUCAUUGGUUAGUCUGGAUGAUUGUUGGUGUGACAGCUGGAGUGAGUGUCAUUAUCUCAGUCUUCUUAGGAGUUGUGAUUUACAGCAGAAGAAACAGGUCUCUGCAUGAGAGCCGAAGUGUCCACAUUGAGGAGCAGAAGGAGGACGACUCUCAGAUCUAUGCUAAUGUUCAGCAGAUGGAGGACGAUUUUGACAUCUACGCUAAUGUAUAACAUAACCAGCCUUGAUCUUGUUCGUUGCUCAGGUGUUACACUUCUUACAUUUACAUUUCGGCAUUUGGGGAGGGGCGAGUGGGGAAUUAGCCCAAAUAUUGAAGAAACGUAUAGGUCUUUAGUCGUCAUUUAAAGUUUUCCAGAGACAUCUAGAGGAAGUCCAGUCCACCAACUAGGUGCCAGAAAAGAAAACUAGAAAACAUGACUUUCUUAAUCCCUGAGAGACGGUGGGACCACCCAAUCAGUGCUGGAGGAUCAGAGGGAAUGUGGUCCGGUGAGGAGUGUGUUUAGAGCUGAGAGGACCUGUCAUGGUCCUGUUACAUCAACACCGUGGUGAAAAAGGCCCGGCAGCGUCUCUACCACCUCAGACGCAUGAGAGACUUCAGACUACCAUCAAGGGUGCUUAGGAAUUUUUACUCCUGCACCAUAGAGAGCAUUCUGACGGUAAACAUCUCAACCUGGUUCAGGAACAGCAGCUCUACGGAAGGUGGUGCGAUCAGCUAAGCGCGUCAUCCGCAGCGAGCUCACUGACCUGCACUCUACCUACAGCAAGCGGUGCUGGACCAAGGCCAGGAAGAUCGUGAAGGACCUCAGCCGCCCGACAAUGGACUGUUCUCUCUGUUGCGGUCAGGACAGCGCUUCCGCUUUCUGAAGGCAAACACAAAGAGACUGAGGAGGAGCUCCUUACUGCAGGCGAUAAGGUCUCUCAAUCAGUACACCACACAGGACUAACCAUCUCUCCAUUUUUGCAGAUUGCAUAUUUAUAAACAUUGAUGGUUACUGCAAAUCGCCUAAAUUAUAUACAUUUACAGUCACCCUGGACAUUUCUGGACAUCGGCACAUUUAGGCACCUUCUCACACACCCUGGACAUUUCUAUUUAAUUUCAUUUCUGCACAUUGCACAUUAUGGUCAUACGCACAUCUACACAAUCAUGCACAUUUGCACACAAUUCGUUUUUUUUCUUUUCCCCCUCAAUGUACAUAAUAUAUAUUUACAACAAAGUCUACAGCUACUGUAAGUUCUCCAUAUUUCAAAUUACAGCUAAUGUUUUUCUAUAUUUAAUAUUUUUAUAUUUCUAUAUAUGUUCUAAUUUAAUUUGAAAUGGCCCCCAAAUAUGAACAAAAUAAUUCCCAAGGAUUUUCUUACCGAACAUUUUUAUAUGGCUUUAGGUAGAUGCAAAAUUGCUAAUUCAGCAUGUGGGCUAAUGUCUUUGCUGAAAAAACAAGAAAUAAUAUCCGACCAAUAUCCUGUCAGUGUAUGGCAAAGUGUGUGACAAUGUACCUUCUGAAAUGUUACACCUUGUCACACUGUGCUAAAACAGAUCGAUAAAUCUUGUGCAGUUUGGAUUUGGAGAGUGAAGACGGUGUAUGACUUUAAACUGAAUCGAAUCGUGUGUGUUAUUAAUGGAACAAGAGGGUCUUCUGUCCAUGAUUUCGAUUCACAAAUCUUCAGACAGGUCAAUGCAUGACUCAGUACUCCAGGCCUUUUGUAAAUGAUCAGCAGAUACUUUAACAUGAUGGGCGAAAACAGAUACAAUGUGGAGAAAUUU